rnacentral:sRNA from 1 species
UUGAUCAUUCAACUCUACCAUCCCCCAUAAAAGGAACGAUGGGGAAGAAACAAAAAUCCCAACCCACGGCUGCUGCGUCUGCGCUCGAGGAAAAUGCUGGCAGUACUCCAGCUGCCAAUGGUUCAAUCCCAUCCUUUCCCUUUUUUGCCGGCGGUGGGGAGAGCGCAGUAGCUGUUGAUCCGAUGCUUGCUUCGCUAUUUGAGAAGAGUGCUGGACCUGUGAAAGCUCCUCAAUUCACUAAUGCGAAGCUGAUCGCGACGUCAGCAAAUGGCGGAAAGUCUGGGGGACGGACCAAUGGAGUGGGGCAAGGCACAUCGCAAGAUGAUAUGGAAUUAACCUCAUCUAAUGAGGAAGAGGCGGGGGAGGGAGCUUCGUCGGAGACCAGUGAUCAAAUGAUGGAGGAUGUCGGUGAUGAAGCAUUGAGUCCAGAAAAACGACGGAAACGAAAACGAGGCGGCGCAGAGGACAUAGAGGAAUCAUACAUGCGGCGCAUGGCAAAGGAGGAAGCCAAGGAAGAUGAGAAGCGACGGAGUGAGAAAGCGAAACGGCAGAAAAUUGUGGAAAGCGUCGGGAGGGAAAGUGACUCUUCAGACUCUGAAAGAGACAACGAGGAGGGUGAAGAUGGAACGUCCGACGAUGAAGAUGGCAUAGACAACCCUCCCAUUGUGCACGAAUCCAACUCCAACAAGCCCGAUGCCGCCCUCCUCGACAAAUCCGCCCGCACCAUCUUCCUCUCCAACGUCUCCACAGAAGCCAUAAAAUCCAAAUCCGCAAAGAAAACCCUCCUCAAACACCUCUGCUCUUUCUUCCCUUCGAUCCCCGAAUCCGCCACACCACAUAAGAUAGAAUCAAUCCGCUUCCGCUCCACGGCCUUCUCCACGCAAUCAAUGCCCAAACGCGCAGCAUACGCCAAGCGCGAGCUCAUGGACUCCACCACCCGCAGCACAAAUGCGUACGUAGUCUACAGCACCACUGCAGCCGCACGAGGAGCCCCCAGGGCUCUGAACGGCAGCAUCAUCCUCGACAGACACCUGCGUGUCGACAGCGUCGCCCACCCAGCCCCCAUCGACUACAAGCGGUGCAUCUUCGUCGGCAACCUCGGUUUCGUCGACGAAGAAACGCCCACCGACGAACAAGUCGCAGGGCAACAGAAGGAGAAGAAGAAACGAAAGCAAAAGCACGCCCCGCCCGCAGAUGUGGAGGAGGGCCUCUGGCGCACUUUCAACGAGCACACCGCUGCUGGCAAGUCCGCGGAUCCCAGUAGUAAUAAAAUAAGCAAGGAUACUGGUCCUUAUCCGAACCUGGGCGGCGGCCCCGUUGAAUCCGUCCGCGUCAUCCGCGACCCGGCAACGCGGAUUGGGAAGGGAGUCGCCUACGUCCAAUUCCGCGACGAGAAUGCCGUUGAGAUGGCGCUGUUGUUGGACGGGCAAAAAUUCCCGCCGUUGCUCCCGCGCAAGCUGCGUGUCACGCGUGCGAAACGGGUUGUGAAGAAAACUCGUAACGGUAGUGUUGGGGAUCAAGGAAGAAGUAAUGGUAGUAAAACGGACAGCAGGAAUGCCAAUAAGACUCGGCUGGGGCAGCGGAGGAGCGGGGUA